AGGGCACCACCAGGAGUGGAGCCUGCGGCUUAAUUUGACUCAACACGGGAAAACUUACCCGGCCCGGACACUGGAAGGAUUGACAGAUUGAGAGCUCUUUCUUGAUUCAGUGGGUGGUGGUGCAUGGCCGUUCUUAGUUGGUGGAGCGAUUUGUCUGGUUAAUUCCGAUAACGAACGAGACUCUAGCCUACUAAAUAGACCAGAGGCUUCUUAAAACACGUCUCUGGCUGCUUCUUAGAGGGACAGGCGGCGAUUCAGCCGCACGAAACAGAGCAAUAACAGGUCUGUGAUGCCCUUAGAUGUCCGGGGCCGCACGCGCGCUACACUGAAGUGAUCAGCGUGCUUUUUGUACCCUGCUCUGCCAAGAGUGGGUAACCCAAUGAACCUUCUCCGUGAUUGGGAUAGGGGAUUGUAAUUAUUCCCCUUGAACGAGGAAUUCCCAGUAAGCGCGAGUCAUAAGCUCGCGUUGAUUACGUCCCUGCCCUUUGUACACACCGCCCGUCGCUACUACCGAUUGAA
rnacentral:rRNA from 1 species